AGGAGUUUAGGUUAAUCUAGACCAAGAGCCUUCAAAGCCCUAAGCAAGUAUAAUAUACUUAACCCCUG
rnacentral:tRNA from 2 species